GCUCCGUGAUUCAUCGCACCGGUUGCCAAUCGCUCCCGCUCCUGUCGCUGACGCACGCGUCGGCGAACGGCGAACCUAAACGAGUCAAGUUCACCGAUCCGAUCGCCGCGAAGAUCGAUCGAGCUGCUCGCCUUCGCGACAAUGCAUCUACAGAAUUGCGACUUUAACCGCUUUCACAAUGUCAUCGUUCAUAAGAAUGAACUAAGAAAAGAAAAGCUUGUAUCUGGGAAAACAUGAUCGUCAAUUCAAAUGGCAAACGUCGAUAGAAGCUAUUGGCCUUAAUCCUCUUCAUGAUUCCUGUAUCCGUCGUGUGAAGGAUCGACUGAUCGCCAGGCCAGAGCCUGUCCCGUCGUUUUUCCGUUGCAAGCGUUGCAGGACAGCUCGGCGGUUCUCUUAGACACCGUGGGCAUCGUUAAUGCAACAUCAACGAGGAACCUCUCCUCCGGGCUAAUGCAAUUUCUAGCGUCUGUCGGGAU